rnacentral:rRNA from 1 species
AUACGGAGGGUGCAAGCGUUAUCCGGAUUCACUGGGUUUAAAGGGUGUGUAGGCGGGUAUUUAAGUCAGUGGUGAAAUCUCCGAGCUCGACUCGGAAACUGCCAUUGAUACUAUUUAUCUUGAAUAUUGUUGAGGUAGGCGGAAUAUGUCAUGUAGCGGUGAAAUGCUUAGAUAUGACAUAGAACACCGAUUGCGAAGGCAGCUUGCUAAACAAUUAUUGACGCUGAGGCACGAAAGCGUGGGGAUC